CAGGCCUAACACAUGCAAGUCGAACGGAAAGGCCCUGCUUUUGUGGGGUGCUCGAGUGGCGAACGGGUGAGUAACACGUGAGUAACCUGCCCUUGACUUUGGGAUAACUUCAGGAAACUGGGGCUAAUACCGGAUAGGAGCUCCUGCUGCAUGGUGGGGGUUGGAAAGUUUCGGCGGUUGGGGAUGGACUCGCGGCUUAUCAGCUUGUUGGUGGGGUAGUGGCUUACCAAGGCUUUGACGGGUAGCCGGCCUGAGAGGGUGACCGGCCACAUUGGGACUGAGAUACGGCCCAGACUCCUACGGGAGGCAGCAGUGGGGAAUAUUGCACAAUGGGCGGAAGCCUGAUGCAGCAACGCCGCGUGCGGGAUGACGGCCUUCGGGCUGUAAACCGCUUUCGCCUGUGACGAAGCGUGAGUGACGGUAAUGGGUAAAGAAGCACCGGCUAACUACGUGCCAGCAGCCGCGGUGAUACGUAGGGUGCGAGCGUUGUCCGGAUUUAUUGGGCGUAAAGGGCUCGUAGGUGGUUGAUCGCGUCGGAAGUGUAAUCUUGGGGCUUAACCCUGAGCGUGCUUUCGAUACGGGUUGACUUGAGGAAGGUAGGGGAGAAUGGAAUUCCUGGUGGAGCGGUGGAAUGCGCAGAUAUCAGGAGGAACACCAGUGGCGAAGGCGGUUCUCUGGGCCUUUCCUGACGCUGAGGAGCGAAAGCGUGGGGAGCGAACAGGCUUAGAUACCCUGGUAGUCCACGCUGUA
rnacentral:rRNA from 1 species